rnacentral:rRNA from 1 species
CCUACGGGUGGCUGCAGUGGGGAAUAUUGGACAAUGGGCGAAAGCCUGAUCCAGCCAUGCCGCGUGUGUGAAGAAGGCCUUCGGGUUGUAAAGCACUUUCAGUGGGGAAGAAAGCCUUGGGGCUAAUACCCUCGAGGAAGGACAUCACCCACAGAAGAAGCACCGGCUAACUCCGUGGCCAGCAGCCGCGGUAAUACGGAGGGUGCGAGCGUUAAUCGGAAUUACUGGGCGUAAAGCGCGCGUAGGCGGUCUGAUAAGCCGGUUGUGAAAGCCCCGGGCUCAACCUGGGAACGGCAUCCGGAACUGUCAGGCUAGAGUGCAGGAGAGGAAGGUAGAAUUCCCGGUGUAGCGGUGAAAUGCGUAGAGAUCGGGAGGAAUACCAGUGGCGAAGGCGGCCUUCUGGACUGACACUGACGCUGAGGUGCGAAAGCGUGGGUAGCAAACAGGAUUAGAUACCCGAGUAGUC